AGGGGGAUAACCCCGGGAAACUGGGGAUAAUACCCCAUAGACUAUGGAUGCUGGAAUGCUCUGUAGUUCAAAGGUCCGCCGCCAUAGAAUGGGUCUGCGGCCGAUUAGGUUGUUGUUGGGGUAACGGCCCAACAAGCCUGUAAUCGGUACGGGUUGUGGGAGCAAGAGCCCGGAGAUGGAUUCUGAGACACGAAUCCAGGCCCUACGGGGCGCAGCAGGCGCGAAAACUUUACAAUGCGGGAAACCGUGAUAAGGGAACUCCGAGUGCCCGUAAAAUCGGGCUGUCCAUCUGUUUAAAUAACAGGUGAAGAAAGGGCCGGGCAAGACCGGUGCCAGCCGCCGCGGUAAUACCGGCGGCUCGAGUGGUGGCCACUAUUACUGGGCUUAAAGCGUUCGUAGCUGGUCUGUUAAGUCUCUGGGGAAAUCUACCGGCUUAACCGGUAGGCGUUUCAGGGAUACUGGCAGACUAGGGACCGGGAGAGGUGAGAGGUACUCCAGGGGUAGGAGUGAAAUCCUGUAAUCCUUGGGGGACCACCUGUGGCGAAGGCGUCUCACCAGAACGGCUCCGACAGUGAGGGACGAAAGCUGGGGGAGCAAACCGGAUUAGAUACCCGGGUAGUCCCAGCUGUAAACGAUGCGCGUUAGGUGUAUCGGUGACCACGAGUCACCGAGGUGCCGAAGAGAAAUCGUGAAACGUGCCGCCUGGGAAGUACGGUCGCAAGGCUGAAACUUAAAGGAAUUGGCGGGGGAGCAC
rnacentral:rRNA from 1 species